AAACCAGCACCUCAAGUGGUCAGGAUGAUUAUUGGGCCUAAAGCAUCCGUAGCCUGCUCUGUAAGUUUUCGGUUAAAUCUGUACGCUCAACGUACAGGCUGUCGGGAAUACUGCAGAGCUAGGGAGUGGGAGAGGUAGACGGUACUCGGGAGGAAGUGGUAAAAUGCUUUGAUCUCUCGAUGACCACCUGUGGCGAAGGCGGUCUACCAGAACACGUCCGACGGUGAGGGAUGAAAGCUAGGGUAGCGAACGGGAUUAGAUACCCCAGUAGUCC
rnacentral:rRNA from 1 species